AGUGAACUCCCACUGGGGCAUGCUGGCCACAUCCUCCCCUUCUCUUCCUCUCUCCAUGGACUAUUUCAUGACAGUCUCCUCUUGCUGCCCGUUCACAGAAUCCCCAUGCGCCAAGCCAAGAGAUCUUGUGUGGUGACCUGGGUGUUUCUCCACGGCUCUUUGUGAGACAACAGCCAUCAAGGUAAGGCACCACAGCGUUGUUUCGCAUCCUCUCACCUCAUUUCCCUUUUGUCUCACCUUCGUGGCCUGGGUUGGCAGCCCCCAAAUGAAGCAUCCAAAUCUUUAUCUUUGCUUCAGGCUCUGUAUCCUAGAGAAGCUGGUCUAAGACACAUCUAGGCAGACUGCCUUCUCAGUAUGGAAGGUGGAGCUUCCUACAGGCUGAACUUGGAAGUGAGGUGUGAUUUAUGGCUCUUUGGUCCUGCCAUGAGCUGUAGGAAUGACCCCCAUCUAAAAGAUACAGUGGUCAUUUCCAGCCUUGCUGACCAGCGCUAGUCUUCCUUCUUCUCCCGGCCUGCCCAUUCCAUCCUAGUCUUACGGGGACCCUCCCACCCACCCUAAGCCAUGGUUAAUCUGUCCACUGGGGACACCUGACCCAAGCUGAACCAAUGAAUUCCUCCCUUCCUUGGGAUUUUUUAAAAGCGGGGAUUAAGUGACUCAGUCUGUUUUCCUUUACACACUCUCUCUCUGAAACAAACACCCACAGGAUCUACAGCUGGAUGUAAGAAAUCUCGUGAGUGGUUAGUGGCCAUGCUGUCUGCCACCUAAAUAAGGUCAGCCUGUGGCACGAAAGAAGAAUUCUGCUGACACGCCGAGAGAAACCAAGGCAGGAGCUACUGAAAGAGACUUACUGGCUGUCACAGGCAUGGCUCCUGAGUUCCUUAAGCUCAGCUGCUCUUUUACCCUCCUUGGGGUUUACUUGGUCUAGUUUCCAGAUCUAAGAAAUCAGGAGAACACCACCAUCUUUCAAGGCUUGGAGUCUUUGACAUGUUGGAAGUUCCAGAUUUCUGUAACACCGUGGGAUCAAAGCCUUGAAGCUCUUCUGUGUACGUCACCAUCAUGAGCCAAGGAGAGACCUUCGAAAAACAACAUAUAGCUCCCUUUCACAUGCACCAUGUUAGCACAGUACUUGGUGUCCACACGCCAUGAUCAUAAGGCCAGAAUCAUCUCGAAGAUUGAAGAUGGAAAAUUCUUUCACACACUGCCCAUCCAGAGGCUAAGUCUAAGUCCCAUCCCCUUGAAUCUGAGUGGGCUCUAUUUCCACUCUGAUAGAAUAUGGCAGAAGUGACACUGUGCCGGUUCCCAAAGCCAGGCCUUAUGAAGCUGGCAGUUCCCAUCCUCUGUCAUUUGGAACACUGUCUCUGGGAGCAUCGGACUUCAAACCCUCAGGCCACCAUGCUGAUGCAGCCCGAUGUAGGUGCUCCAGCUCAGAGUUCCACCUGAGCCCAGCCUUCGAGGCAUCUCUCCAGCCAAGGCCCCGUACGUUGGGUGAAACCAUCUUCUACCCUCCAGGUCAACUCAUCGCUGGUUGAAUUCCACAAGUGACCUUACUCCACACGAUGCCAUAUGGAGCAGAAGAAUCACUCAGCUGAGCCCUGCCCGAGUUCCUAACCCACAAAAUUAUAAAUUAUAACAAAAUGGUUGUUAUUUUAAGUCACUGACUUUGGAGGUGAUUUGUUACGUGGUGACAUAUAACUGGAACAAUUAUUACCUCAUCCAGCAGAUGAGAAGACAGAGACUGAGUAAGGUAAAUGAAUUACCCAGACAUUUGGGGACCAACAGGUGGGGCUGGAACCCAAGACUUCUCAUUCUUAGUCUUGUUUUUCUAUUUGAUCUUGAUGACACUGUGAACAUCUAGACCAUCAGCAGCAAAGAUCACCAACCAUUCAUUUCAAUUUUAGCUGAAGUAACAUUAUCUGGCACUUCCACGGCCUGGUGUCAGUAGACUUCUUUGGCUUUGUUCUAAGUGCUUUCUUCCCAUUUACUUAUUUGACCCUCACAACAACCCUACGAGGUAAAUGUUAUUAUAAGGUCUAAUCGGUAGAUAGGGAAACUGAGGCACAGAAUGAUAAAGUGUCUUGCCAAAGGCCACGUAGCUAGAGAGGCACAAAGCAGGGAUUUGAACGCAGUUACUUUGGCUCCUGGGACCAUGCGCCUAACCACUAAGGAGACCGUCAUUCGAAAGAGCCAGGCCGUCUUAGGUCAACUCAGAGGUGAUCUGAACUCAUGGCCACUGUGUGUGGCUCAGUGCCACAUUGACUUCCACCCCGAGCUCUCAAGUCCUUAACAGUCUUUAGAAGCUUUUAGACUUGAGACCCGCCCAUUGUUCACUUACAAUAUGGAGCAAAGCUGUAAAGGACAUAGAUGUUUUACAUCCAGUUGGGUGAAGGGAAGCAUCUUUGUGUCUGCCUGAAACCCUGACAGGGAAGCCGGGGCCACCCAAUGAAUGCCACAAUUAAUUUCCCAGUGCGCAAUAUUGCCUGUGGGGAGAGGAGGCACUGGUUCAUUUCUUAUUCAUGAAGUCACACUGCCAAGCUUCAUUUGCAUGAAGUAAUUUCUGCUGCUGCUACCCCGCCAUAAAACACAUCCGUUUCUCCUACAGGAUCUGGUCUCUUUGCACCAACAGAGAUGAGUAAGCAGUAAAUGCUGAAGGAACACACCCUCUGGACCAUUUUAAUCAGAAAGGUGUCUGUAGCUAACGAUAAGUGAUUUUAUAGGAAUCUAAAAUACCUUGGACUCAAAGUACUCAAAUGCAACUCUGCCUCAAGAUCUAUUUUGGGGAAAGUGUUUAGCAUUUCUCUCUGCUUGGCCAAACGUUGAUUUCAUAACCAGUGGAGCUAUAGAACUAUAGUUGUCCAGGAAAAAAAAAAAAGAAGAAGAAGAAAAAGAAGCAGGAGAAAGGUGGGGGGGGGUGGUCAAUAACCUGCCAAAGCCUGAUGAGUUAAGUCACUGGAAAUGACCCUUUGUAUGGCACAUCCUGCAAAGAUGUCCGCAUCGUAGCCGCUGGAACCUGUGAAUAUAUCACUUUACAUACAGAUGGGGCUUUGCAAAUGUAAUUAAGGUGAAGGACCUUGACAUAGGGAGAGAAUGCUGGAUUAUCCAGGUGAACCCAGCCUAGUCAUGCGAAUCCUUAAAAGUGGAAGAAACUUCCAGACUACAGUCAGAGAGCUAUGACUAUAAAUGAAUGUUCAGAGGGACGCAACAUUGCUGGCUUUGAAGACGGAGGAGAGCGGCCACAGACCAAGAGACAUGGGUAGUCUCUAGAAGCUGGAAAAAUCAAGGGAACAGAUUUAUUCCUAGAUUCUCCAGAAAAAAAAUCGCAGUCCUCCUGACACCGCAAUUUUGAGACCCUGUCAGACUUCUAACCUAAAGAACAGUAAGAUCAUAAAUUUGUGUUGUUUUAAGUCACUAUAGUUGUGGUAUAGUUUGCUACAGCCACCAUAGAAAAUGAAUAUACCUUGUAUUAAGAGUUCUCCACCAUUCAUUAGCUGUGUGACCCUGCCUGAGUCACCUCAUCUAUCAGAAGUAGGGAAGGUUUUGUGAGUCUUAAAGUGCAUUGUGGAGGUAAGAUUUUAAUAUCAUUAAUGUUAUUAUUCCAGCUGACCACACUCCAUGCGAGAAACAGCCCAACUGGGAUGGCUGGGACUUUCCAAUUCAUAAGGCUUAAAAAUCAUUUAAGCAAUUAAUGCCAGCCUCCUCCUGACCAAAUAUUUUCCCAGGCACAAUUUAAAAAAAAAUGACAGCAAGUGCUUCAUCAUUUCGCCCGGCCGCUGUUUAAGAUCCAUCCCAGAUACUAACUGGGGAGGGCCGUAUCAGCUAUUUAUUGCCACAGUAAUGCUAUGUAACAAGAUAGCUGAAAAAUCCGUUGCUGAAAACAAUAAACAUUAAUUUCGUUCACGAGCCUGUGGGUCUGUGGUUUAGGCUGGGCUUGUCUGGGAAGUGCUGGCCGCGACUCAGUUCACUCUCAUGACUGGUGGCCAGAUGGCUGUUGGGUGACCAAACUCUUGUCUGUGUGCUUCUCACCAUCUACCAGGACAGCUUGAGCAUCUUCUCAUGGCAACAGAAUUAAGCAAGAGCAGAAGCAGAGAUGUGCCAAUGUCUUUUCAAACCUCUGUAUGUGUCACAGGUAACAUCCCAUUGGCCGAAACAUGUCACGGGUUGAGCCUUAGAGCCAAGUAAAUGGUUCUUUAGUGCAAGGAAGUGCGGACACAUGGCUAAGGGCAUGGAUAGAAUGGUGUGUGUGUGUGUGUGUGUGUGUGUGUGUGUGUGUGCAUGUGCGUAUGAAGAAUUGGGGCCAUUAUAGUUAAUCUACCACAGAGAAGGAAAGCAAAGAAAACUGGGUCAUCUUUAUUUGAGAUUUAUUAGGCGCCUACUG